GUCUGACCACGCCCCUGCUGGUUGCCAGGCGCUGCUCCAGCACCGGCUGAUCCAGGCCAAUCAGAAGUCCCGGCUGGGAUCAGGCUCCGCCCCUGAGGCAGCACGCACCUAUCCACUGACUCUGCUGGAGUGGACAGCCAAUAGGAAGAGGGCUAACAUGGUGCUGCAGGUGACCUGCUUCGACGGAGGAUCCUUCCUGUGUCCCGUCAACUCCUGGACCAGUGGAGAAGACCUGGCGGGAGACAUCCUGCUACACAGGGGGGUGUGUGAGGCGUGGAGGGGCUGGUCUAUAUUGAUGAAGGAGCAUGGGCAGUGGGCGGAGCUAGCC